rnacentral:lncRNA from 1 species
UUUGAUCUUGAGCUCCAACUCCAGCUAAGCAAAUAAAAUAACUAAAUCAUCGUAACCCCAAUUUAUACUUCUUCCUCAUAGACACACACACACAAAGAUUCGGUAUUUGCUCAUACAUAAUUUAAAAUUUAAAUCUUUAAACUUAAUGUAUAUCCAACAUACUUAUCAUAUAUUCCUAUAAUUCAAUACAUUAUAAGAUCAAUUUCGACAAUUCACAUUUCCAAAUUUUAUUAGCUAAGUUCAUUUUCGGUUAGUGCUCUUUUAAAAUCUAUCAAGCUCGUAUUCCUCUAAUUUCAUGAGUUCAACGUCUUAGUGCCCAUAGUAACUACUCAAAUAAAUUUCGAAUACAUAAAUUAAGUCACCCCAAACUAUCUUGAUUUAAAAUCGACAAACAUACAUAUGUCAAACUAUUUUAACCAAAUUUUACUUAUCACUUAUACUAAAAUAUGCACUUAAACUUACUAUGUUUACAUCAUGCCUUACACUCCCAAAACAUAAGACAUCAAUCUAUUUCCUUCUUCCAUGUCUCAGUCAACUACUCAUUUUACCUCAUAAUCUUGAAUUUUGCAUUUUAAUGUAUCUAUCACGACUUAUUCGGCUUACAUUGAACCAUUACUCAUACAAGAAAAUAGCAAACAAAAUGAAUAUUCCAUUCAAAUCCUCAUAUGGCCGAAUACACAAUGUACUACCCAACUAAUAAUUCAACAAGUUCAAUCUCAUUCUCUCAUCUACAUAUUCAAAACAACAUGAAAACAACCUCCAAUUCUACUACAUUGAUAUACGGCUUAGUGCCCAAACUACCAUAGAACUUUGAUUUCUUUUUUUCUUUUUUUUUUGACAUGGCCAAGAGAUGCAUUUACAAUUAACUUAAACAUUUAAAGGAAAAAUUCCAAAAAUAACUUCAAAUCUUACCUCCAACUAGCCAAGAAGGUGCCGGAUUGCCCUAAUGAAAUUUCUCUUUUUUUUUUCUUUCCCUUUUGUUUCGGUUUGUAACCAAGAAGAAGAUGAACACUUUUCUUUUCUUUUAUUCAUCUUUUUAUUUUUUUAUUCAUUAUGAUUUGAAUAUUUUAUUCCUUUGCCAAUUUAAUAUACAAAUUAAUUUAAAUUAGUGGAAGGGCAUCAUUACUUGGCUGGCCACUUAGUGCAAAAAUGGGCAUUUUGACAUGCAAAUCCAUGCUUUCUCACCUUAUUGUUAUUUAAUCCUUACAAUUUACCUAUCAUCUUUUCUAAAUUUCUCAACUAAGUCCUUUCAAGAAAAUUCACAUUCCUAAGGCUAAUUUUAAGCAUUUAAUUUUUUUUUUCACAGAUACACUAUCACACAUAAAUAUAUGCAAUUAAAACAAAAUUAAAUUUUUGUGACUCGGUUUUGUGGUCCCGAAACCACAUUCCGACUAGGGUCUAAUUAGGGCCGUCACAAGCGGGCUAAAGGAAAAAGGGUAAUGAGCUUCAAGAUAUACAGCUUCUAUUAGGCCAACGAUUAGAAACGGAGGUAUCUAUUUAUUUAAAUUUGAACUAUAUAAUAUUAAUGUAGUUGGUUUCGUAUUCAGUAGUAUAUAUAAAGCUAAUGUUUUUAUCACAUUAAUAUAGUUUGAAUGGACACCAUACGAGGAUCCGACAAUUCAAUAAGUCAUCCCCGAGGAAUUAUUUGUGAAUCCCAACAUCUAGCACGUGAAUGUCCCAUUAGUAGUGUAUGCUACCAUUGAGAUGCACAAAACUCAUAGAGUGUUGCGGUAGUUAGGAUUCCAACAAUUGAUUCUCGUGGCACCUUAAGACCUUGAUGAUCUGCAUCCUAUCGACUUGCGGUGGCCAAAUGAGAAUUGUUCGGUAUCCACUCCCAACAUAUCAACAUGUGGAAUAAUCAAUAUGAUUUCUUAUCUACUCGUGAACCUAUUAUCGUUUUGGAGUUAACAUGCGAUCCAGAGUACAUGCCAUGAGUUAGGAUCCAUGGCAAGCCAUAUUUGUACGAAAAAGAGGCGAGGCGUCGACAUCCCUAUACGAAUAGGUCACGACUGUAAUGACCCGAAUUUUACCGAUACUGAAAAAGUGUAAUUUCGGAUAUCUGUUUAUGAAAAAUAGAUUCCGACAAUUGAUUCAAUAAGCCAUAUUCGUAAAUAUUAUAUUAUAUAUAUAAUAAAUGGAAUAAAAAAAAGAUAGAAGAGAAACAGAAUGAAACGAAACAGAGAGCAGGGGAGAAAAAGAAGAAAUGGGGAAAAGGGAAAAUUGAAGGUUUGAAGCUUUAAGCUUUAAUAGGUAAGUCAAUCAAACCCUUUUUACUUAAUUUUGAUGUUUUAGAAGUUUCAGAACAAAGUUUUAAUGAAAUUAAGUUGAUAUUUUAAAAGUUGUUAGAUUUCUAGAUAUUAUCCAUGUUAAAUAAAAUGAUGAAUUAAGGGCUAAAUUGAUAGAAAUUCAAGUUAGAAAUGAUAUAAGGAUUGAAUUGUAAAGUGAUUCAUAAGUUUUAUGCUUUAAGGACUAAAUUGAAAGAAUUUCGAAAUUAUGGUUUUAUGAUGAAAAAUAGAUAAUUAUGUCUAAGUUUGGUUAAAAAUUGAGUAGAAGUAAAGUAUAAAUUAAGAUAGAAAAGCAAGUGAAUUUAGUUACGAUUAAAUUGAAAUUAAAAGUAGAAAAUCAACAUUUUGCACUAAGACUAUUUUGGACAGCAGCAGUAGUCUAAGUUUGAAAAAUCACCAAAAAUUGUAGAAAUUUAAUUAUAGGAUGAAUAAAAUAUGGAAUUAAAGCUUAUUGAGUCUAGUUUCUUAUAGAGGAAACGGUAUAAGAAAUUUAAUUGUAAAUUAUAAGAUAUAAUUAAUUUUGUGAGACAAGGUUAGAAUGAAUUCGGGUUCCCCUGUUCUGACUUUGGAAAAUCACAAAAAAUUGGAGAAAAAUAAUUAGAGGCUUAAAGUUAUAUGUUUAGAAUCCAUAAUGAGUAUAUUUUCAGGAUAAAUCAACGGAAAUAUUAUCUAAUUUUUGUACUGUGAGAUAAUAAAUUUUUAGUGAAGAAGGGUCGAAAUUGUCAGACAGCAGAACAGGGGUAACUUUAAAGGAAUAAACUGUACUUAUUGGCUAAACCAAAAAUUCUGAAAAUUUUAUGGCAAGAAGAUAUAUGAGACUAGUUUCAGAAAAAAUUAGCGGAUCUUAAUUUGGAGUUUUAUAGCUCCAGAUAUAAAUAAUUUAGUGACUAUGACACAGAUGGACAGCUUGAAUAUCCAUAAAAGUAAAUAAUAAAAAUUAUAGAUAAUGUUACUUACAAGUGUGUUAUAUACAUUAAGGAUGUGGAAUGGAGAGGAGGAGGAGGAAAAUAUAUAUGAAUAUUCAGUUAGCAUGGCUAAUUUGCAUGUUUUAAGCUCAUGGACUAAAUUGAAUAAAAGUGGGGCAAUUUUGUAAAAAUAUCAAAAAUGACUAAAUUGAAGGGAAUGAAUUGUUUUAUUAUCUAAAUUAAUGAAUUGAAUGAAAUUAUCAAUUUAAGAUUGGGUGAAAUUUGGAAAAAUGGUAAAUUACCAAUAUGCCCCUAAAUCUUGGUAUUUCUGCAAUUUAGUCAGGUAGGUUUAUAUAUCCUGAAUGAGCAUGUAAAUAUGACAGUUUAAGUAUUUUAUCGUAUUUUAUAUGAUAUUUUGAAUUGAAUAUAUGAAAAGGAUGUUACAUGAAAUAUGAAAAUGAAUACUAAAUAAUAUAAAUUAAUUGAAAUUAUUCUGAAAAUCUCGAUAAUGCCUCGUAUCCUAUCCCGGUCUCAGGUACGGGUAAUUAAAUAUUCAUAUAUAUUUUCCUCCUCCUCCUCUUCAUUCCACAUCCUUAAUGUAUAUAACACACUUGUAAAUAACAUUAUCUAUAAUUUUUAUUAUUUACUUUUAUGGAUAUUCAAGCUGUCCAUCUGUGUCAUAGUCACUAAAUUAUUUAUAUCUGGAGCUAUAAAACUUCAAAUUAAGAUCCGCUAAUUUUUUCUGAAACUAGUCUCAUAUAUCUUCUUGCCAUAAAAUUUUCAUAAUUUUUGGCUUAGCCAAUAAGUACAGUUUAUUCCUUUAAAGUUACCCCUGUUCUGCUGUCCGACAGUUUCGACCCUUCUUCACUAAAAAUUUAUUAUCUCACAGUACAAAACUUGGAUAAUAUUAAUGUUGAUUUCUCAUGAAAAUAGACUCAUUAGGAAUUCUAAAAAUAUAACUUUAAGCCUCUAAUUAUUUUUUUCCAAUUUUUGGUGAUUUUCCAAAGUCAGAACAGGGGAACCCGAAUUCAUUCUAACCUUGUCUCACAAAAUUCAUUAUAUCUCAUAAUUUACAAUUCAAUUGCUGAUACCGUUUCUUCUAUAAGAAACUAGACUCAAUAAGCUUUAAUUCUGUAUUUUAUUUAUUCUCCAAUUAAAUUUAUACAAUUUUUGGUGAUUUUUCAAACUUAGACUACUGCUGCUGUCCAAAAUAGUCUUAGUGCAAAAUGUUGAUUUUCUACUUUUAAUUUCAAUUUAAUCCUAACUAAAUUCACUUGCUUUUCUAUCUUAAUUUAUACUUUACUUCUACUCAUUUUUUAACCAAACUUAAACAUAAUUAUCUAUUUUUCAUCAUAAGACCAUAAUUUCAAAAUUCUUUCAAUUUAGUCCUUAAAGCAUAAAACUUAUGAAUCACUUUACAAUUCAAUCCUUAUAUCAUUUCUAACUUGAAUUUCUAUCAAUUUAGCCCUUAAUUCAUCAUUUUAUUUAACAUGGAUAAUAUCUAGAAAUCUAACAACUUUCAAAAUAUCAACUUAAUUUCAUCAAAACUUUGUUCUGAAACUUCUAAAACAUCAAAAUUAAGUAAAAAGGGUUUGAUUGACUUACCUAUGAAAGCUUAAAGCUUCAAACCUUCAAUUUUCUCUUUUCCCCCUUUAUUUCUUUUUCUCCCCUACUCUCUGUUUCGUUUCAUUUUGUUUAUUUUCUAUCUUCCU